AUUGAACGCUGGCGGCGUGCUUAACACAUGCAAGUCGAUCGGUAACAGGUGUAGCAAUACAUGCUGACGAGAGGCGGACGGGUGAGGAAUAUUUGGGAAUCUGCCCAUCAGCGGGGGACAACCCGGGGAAACUCGGGCUAAUACCGCAUACGCUCUACGGAGGAAAGCCGGGGACCGCAAGGCCUGGCACUGAUGGAUGAGCCCAAAUCGGAUUAGCUAGUUGGCGGGGUAACGGCCCACCAAGGCGACGAUCCGUAGCUGGUCUGAGAGGACGAUCAGCCACACCGGAACGGAGACACGGGCCGGACUCCUACGGGAGGCAGCAGUGGGGAAUAUUGGACAAUGGGGGAAACCCUGAUCCAGCGACGCCGCGUGGGUGAAGAAGGCCUGCGGGUUGUAAAGCCCUUUCGGUAGGGAAGAAAUCUCUUGUCUUAACACGGCAAGGGUUUGACUUAACCUACAUAAGAAGCACCGGCUAACUCUGUGCCAGCCGCCGCCGUAACAC
rnacentral:rRNA from 1 species